GCACUCACCUGCCCUGUCCUCCUGCAGGGAGCGGCCACCGCUCCAAACCUGGGAGCGGAACCCUGGACAGCAGCGGCUGGGGAGAGCUGGCCGAAGGCGGCCCAGGCCCCUCCCAGGGCGACCCGAGAGGCGCUUGGCUAGCGUGCCGAGGCCCCCACCGACAGCCGCCGUCUGUGCCCAGCUCCUCCCGCCCCUGCCCCUGGCCGAGCAGGAGAGGCCGCCGGCGCGAGCUGGGAUCGCGCACAGAGCAGGGGCGCACGGUGGAGGCUGCGGGCCCGGGUGCGCCCGGUUUCCUCUUCCUGUUGCUGGCCCUGUGCUCAGGGCUUUAGUCUCUGCUAUGUUCCCGUUUUAGCAAAUUCUAUUCUUUUUAUUUUGUUCCCUGAUCCGGGGCGGGGGCGCAGCAUUUGCCUAGAGGCCUUUUCUGUCCCUCAACCUUCCGGCCUGGCCUUCUGUCUCCUCACUCUGCUCUCCCAGCCGUGACCACCUCCUCCCCCUCCCCUCCCCUCCCCCUUCUUUCCCCUUCCCCUCCCCCUUCUCCUCCCCCAUCCCCUCCCCCUGAUGCCACUCUUCCAUGGGUCACAGGUUCCCUGUUCCAGGGGUCCCACCCCCGAAGCCACACCGUGCGCCCACGCGUGGAGGGGGCCCCUGCCGCAGCUCAGCUGGCAGCCUCUCGGUGCUGCUGCGCGGUCCUCAGUGCUCUGUGCAGGUGCCGGGACAGGCUCGGCCGCUGGAUGUUAGGCUCUCAGCGCGUCUCCAAAUCUCUCCAAGACGUUAUUUUUGAAAACCUUCGUGAUUUGCUUGCGUGUCUCACCGCUCUCUCUUCAGUGUUGGGGUUCACUGCGCCGGAUCUUUUUUGCGUAGACAGGGACGCAGUCAAGUUAGUUGUAACAACUCGGGAACAGUUCAUGCUUCGUUAAAUCAGAUACUACUACAUAUAUGUAAGGUAACACGUUUUGAAGCUAAAUAUAUUUACGUACACAUAUAUACUUCAGUGUGCAGAUACUCUUUGUUUUAUUUACAUGCUUUCUUGGAAUGCUGUAGGUUAAACCCUCCUGCGGACUGACGGCUGUCUCCAGGCAAGUGCUCUCGCCCCCGCCCGCCCGGGCCUCACCCCCAGCCCUGUCUGUUGGGAAAUAAACCUGUUGUGCAUUAGCUGCCCAGCUGCGGUGUGUUACAGUGGUCCGAGCUGAUGAAGACGCGGGCUCCUGCAUGACUUAAAACCCUGACAGAAUAAGCUCAGUAGACCCGUGGCCUAAGCCCCCACGUGCUCAAUGAGAUCCCAGUUAUCCAUUCUUUGUAAAGAUUGAGAAACUGAGAAAUACCAGCCAGUUGAGUGGAGAUGCCAGCAGGGCAGGUGGAUGUCCGAGGAAGGACAUAAAACACCUUUUCCUUGAUGUGUUCUUCAAGACAGAGCUUUGUCAGACCCAAAGAGCAUGAUUCAGUCUCCAUCGCCCACAAAAGAUCCUUCGCACGUAUUUUCCACGUAUGUAUUUAGAAUACCACUUCUAUUUAGCUCUACUUGAGCUUUUAUGAAAUAAUUGUUCAUUUUGUAUCUGUAUCAUUUGUCUCUAUUUAUGCAUCUGCACCUUAUGGCAACACUCUUCUGUUCUGUUCUAUGUCUUCUCUACUUCCCACCAAGAAGGGGGCUAGAGUUCCCUCUUCUGAAUCAACCCUGGCUCCAUGACUUCCCUGCAGCAGAGAGUGUGCGGAGGGCACUUGUUUGGUGUCCAGGGCUCAGUCAGAGGAGGGCUUUCUGAUUUUUUAUGCUCUCCGGGGAUGUCACCACUCCGGGACUCCCUUCGGAGCUCCCCUCUGGAAUCUUAGGUGAUGAGAGAGGCCUGCAAAGUAUCCUUGUGCUCUUUUCAAGUUUCCAAUGAGCCUUGCUCAACCCUCCUGGCUGGGGACCGCACUGAGCAGGCGGUUCCUGCCAUUAGUGACUCAAGCUGCUCCCAGCUAUUAUACCGGAGAGCAGAGAUGGCAUCCUCUCUUUUCCCUGAAUUCAGAGCACAUGCACAGAGUCAUGCUGUCUUAUGCCAGUUUGGGAGUCCGUUACCCCACGAUGGGCAGCUAAAACGCUUGCUUAUCAGAUGAGUUACUGCCUAGACCAAUAGUGAUGAAACUGUGCCACACAGGCCACGUGGGCAUGAAAGAUUGGUCACUCCAGCCUUUCUCCAGCAGCCACACAUUGGAUAACAGCACACAGGGGGGCUGUGUGCAUGCGCGGAAAGGAGUAGUGGCACCAGGCAUGACAUCAUGAGCAGUGUGAGUACUCAGUCUCUAAAAAGUUUGCUGUCACUGGUCUAGACUGUGCAUUCCAGCAAGCAGAGAGUGUGAUUUGAACACUUCAUGCAAUCAUCUGAAAAUUCAACAGAACAGAAGGACUGGCCUCAUCACGGAGAGUUUUUCUCCAGUAGAUGACUUCAGACUUCAGUGCCAGCUCUUCCCUACACGAUAGCAGGUGGCCCCCAGACUGCAGGCCUCAGCUCUCCUGGCCUCCCCGGUACUGGACUUGCCAGCGUCUGUGACUGAACUAGCCAAUCUCCCACCAUAAAUCUCCUAUCUGUCUACCUACCUACCUACGGUCUGCCCAUCGAUCUAUAGCAUCUCCACUGUCUUCUCUGUGUCUCUUGAUCUGUCUCCACGUACACAGCCCAUUAGCUCUGUUUCUUUGGAGAACUUGACAAUGUAAUCUCCACAGGAUCUGAAAGAGUGGAUGUCGGUAGGUGGUGUCCUCUGGGUGACAUUUUGGCUGUCACAACUCAGCAUCUCAUGAGUAAUACGGCUGGACUGAGGUGCUACUUCUUUUAAGAGAGGCCUGAAAGUGAGUGGACACAAGUCAAGGGACAUCGACCUGUGGCAUGAGGACCGCUAUUCAUCUGUGUGCAUCACAGGUCCUGUGUCCAAACCCAUCAGUGGUGUCCAUCAGUUCCUCACGAAGCCAGGGGAUGGGCCUUCAGUGGUGUUUCCAAAAGGUAGUGUUGAAACAUCAAAGUUUUGCCCUGGAGUAAAAAUUACUCUCUGUAAUUAUGAAGAAACAGCUCUCUCUGGUAGCAAGUUAUAGCAGUUUCUUUAAAAGAAGAAAUGACUAACAUGUAAGAGGCUCUGGAAACUUUGGUAAGAGAAAUACACGACCAGCAAGAGGAAAUUUAUCUGGUAUCCCUCCAUGUUGUAUCUAUGAAUUAUACACAGUAUGUUCAAAAUGCAGAGGUAUUAUUUUUGUUAUUUUUUAAUAGAUGAGAAGGUGGGAACUCAUAAGAGUUACAGAACUUGCUAGUGAUUUGCAGCACCCAGAAGGGAAUUUGUGUGUCAGCCAGAGUUAGGACACUUCCAGAGCCUGCAACUACCCACUGCAGCUGCUGGCUGCCCCUGCUGUUAGAGACCUGCCCAAAGCAAGAAGAAGAAAAAACUUCUUGCUAUCACCAGUCUCUGGGUUGCUGAAUUUUCUCUGGGAGGCCGCUGACAAGUGAAUCAGCAGGCUUGCAGCCUCUGCACUAGAAAGGGGCAGAGGUAGACCUGUGGACAGGGAGAAUCUGGCCCAAGACUUUGCAUCCUAGGUUCUGCUCACCAGCUUCAGUUUUUUUCUGUGUGGUCAGAGCAUGCCGAAUUUUUACUUCUGGUGACCCAAGGGUUAAUCAUUUAAUACAGGGAAAGUGUCUUUCUUAUUGUUAUACUGUCUAGCAUGUUUGUUCAGGUCAGUGGGAACUACUUGUCACCAUAGUCAUUUAAAAGCCAAGCUGAAUCUGGCUGUGUCAUCUUUACCACAUGAAUUUCUGAUGAUUCUGAGUUUCCUGACUCCAGUCGGCAGAAGUUUUUAUGGGUCAGGCCAAUAAGGGACGCGAAUAAGAAUUGACGUUCCUGCUAGGAUUGCUCACUCGUGAGACCAGAACCUCCUGAAAGGGAGGCUGAGAAAAAGGACCAGGCUGGGGCCAGGAAGCGAGGAGAGGGGACUCUGGAUCUCUUAAGGGUGUCUGCCAGCUCCCACACAUGCAAAGACUUGGGGACCUUCAAAUCAGUCCCUUGUGCACAGAGUAGAGGCACCAGAGAUGACUGUACGUGAAAAAAUGGUCAGAAGAUUUGAUGUUUUCUUGCUCACUAUGAAACAUCAGUGAAACACAACAGACAAAAGAUUGGGGACACUGUAGGUAAUAUGAGCAUAAAUAAAUAGCACCCCCACUAACUCAGAGCUCAUUUGAUUCUGCAGUGAUGCCGGGCUUGAUUACCGUGCUUCUUUACAUUAGUGCUUCAGAGGACUCCAGUAACCUAAAGUGUGUACAACCAGAAGUAAAUGGCUUUACGUACCUCACAACCAGGAUAAACCUGGUAGUCGAUAAACCUGCCACUUGGCUGUUUGGUAUGUAAACCUGAUAGUCAGUAAAUCUGGAAAUGAACCACAGAGGAAACAAAGGCUGUCUCCAGGAGGCAGCCCUGCUGAGAGGUCACACUGCAAUAGCAGUUUUAAUGGGAGAGCUGCCCAGGUGCUUAAUCUCGCAUGCAGUUUUCAGUUCAGACUACGUUCAAAAGGGUGUUCAGCUGCAAGAAAAGGAGUUGAAGAGAAAUUGAAUGAAAAGUAUAAGUAAAAGAUCCCACUGGCUCUCUUGCCGACGGGCAAGCUCACGGCCUUGAGUUCAGCUCCCAGCACCAAAAGAAGCCAAAAAAAACCCCACAACAAAACAAACUAAAAAUCUCACUGGACAUCAAAAUAAUAUAAUAAACUGUAACAGCAGUGUUGUGUUUUAAAGAAAUGAAUGGCAAUGCCACAGAAUGGACUCUUAUGUGGUCUUUAUGAUUUAUUUAUUUCUUUAUUCGGUACCAGGGAUCAAACUCAUGAUCUCGCACUUGCCAGACAGGCACUUAUGCUGCUGAGCUAAACCCCUGAAGAUGUGAUUUACUAUCAAUGAUGUGAAAAAGAAAUGUGGAAGAAAAUGUAGAUGGCAUUAACUACCUGGAAGCGGCUCUGAAUAGGGGAUUAUGGAUGAUUCUUUAAAUGCUUCUUUAUAUUGUUUCUCUGCCUUCUAGAUUGUAAAAUAUCAUUGCGAUAGCCAGGAGACAGGAAGCAGGCCACUUAGUUUUUAAACUAUGGGAAGUAGGUGCUGUCCACCACUGAGGUGCCCAGCAGAGUCUAGAGCAUAGAAGGGGUGGGUGGUUUGAGGUGGAGAUGCGUUAGUUUGUUUGCUGUUACAACAGAACGUGGCACCCUGGGUGGUUUAUGGACAGCAGAGAUUGAUUUCUCACCCUGUGGAAGCCCGGCGUGCAAGUUCCCAGACCUGCAGUGGACUCGGGCGUUGCCAUGGCCUAAUUCCUGAUCCAUAGACAAGUUUCUUCCUGCUGUGUCCCUUUGGAGCUUUUUAGGGUCCCUGAGAAGAGCAUGGGUCCCUCACAUGAGGUUCCACCUUCGUGAGCUCACACCUCCACCACACGGGACUGGAUCUGUAUAUGAAUUCUGGGGGAUAGAUAUUGUCUUAGUUACUUUUUACUCAUCGUUGAGACAAAAUACCCGAUGACUAAAGUUGGGAAAGGAAAGGUUUAUUUCUUACAGUUUUUGGAGGUUUCAGUCCAUACUCAGUUGCCUCCAAGGCAGGGUGGCUUGGUAGGGCCGCAGUUCAUGGCGACUGCAAACAGCAAGGCAGAAACCAGCAAGAGAGCAAGACACACCUUCUUCCUGCCAUUAAAUUACAACCUGGCUCCACCCCUCUGUGGGUGUAGCGCUGACACCAUCAAUCCAAGCACUAGACAAUGAACCAAUCACAGAUGCAUAAUGUAAAUGCGUGAGGCCUGGGGGCCACCGACAUAGACCAUGACAGAUAUCAAGCCUCUACUUAGGAUGUACAGAGACUCUGGUAGGAAGUCUGUUCCUCCUAGAAGGCAUUGGGAACUGCUGGUUUCUUGGAUCAUAAAAGCAGAUGGACAUCUCUCAGUCUCAUUAUUGCUUUUCAGUGCUUACUGGAUAAAUUCUUCCUGCUGACUUUUGUGUGUCCAUGGAGAAGAAAUACCUAUUUCAUUUGGAGGAAAGUUACCCUAAAGUACUUUUCACACUAAUUCGAGCUAAGGUGACUAUUUUGGAAGCUUGUCCACACAUGGGAAUAACAGCAUGCUUUGUGUUGAGGCUGAGACCAUUCAUAUUAACAAAAGAGCACAGCAAAGUGAAGCAGUGUGCUUUGGAUGUAGCAGUGUUCCACAGCAUUCUGAUCAUCUGAAGCAAGGACCUGUAGAUGUGACUGAAUAUUAUAUGCCACCUGGUUUUAGAGCUGCAGGGGCCUUUAGUAGGUACUUAAUCCAUUUACAAAUGGAUUACCAAUUUAAGAUACUGCAUCUUAAAACCAUACAACCAUGUGCAUCCUGGGGUCAGUGUGACAAGUGCUGCUGGGGCUGGUGAUCUGUGUUGUAAAAGCAUAGACCAAGCAAAAUCUCAGGCCCACCAGCAAUUGUAUCUAAAUUUGACAAAGUGGCUACUAAAACAAGUAAAACCAAGGCAGGCCACACAUUUUUGGGUCCUGUGGCCUUAGCCAAAUCCUCUUUUGCCUCUUGGUGAAACUUCAUUUGAUGUCAUGGAGAUUAUCUCUUCAACUGGCGAGCUGCUGGCUCCAGAUUCCCAGAAGCACCAGGGCACAGUCAGUGGUGAGUGUGGGUCAGCCUCGGACUCCUCACGGCAGAGGGGGGAAGCAGUCCUGCCAAUCAUCAGAUGGCUUCGAGCCCUCCAGGAAGGAGCGAAAAAUGAACGGGAGGAGUGUCAGCACGCUUCCUGGAGAGCAUCUCAGAGAGAACGGCCUGCGGUUCGGGGCAGGUUGGGGAGACGGAGUAGCAGCAGACAGGCACCUGCCUCGGCUCCUGCAGGGGCUGGGGUGAGACUCCCCACAUCUGCACCCGUGAGCUGCUUUCCUUCCUGACGUCAGUGUUACCACAGUCAGCAAACUCAGUGCUGUUUUGUUUUUAAGUGUUAAAUAACAAAAUUUUUUUAUUAGUAUGUGCUUGCAGAACAUGAAGUUUACAUGCAUCCAUGCACAUAACUCAGAUAACUUUAAAA